rnacentral:rRNA from 1 species
GACGAACGCUGGCGGCGUGCCUAAUACAUGCAAGUAGAACGCUGAAGGAGGAGCUUGCUUCUCCGGAUGAGUUGCGAACGGGUGAGUAACGCGUAGGUAACCUGCCUGGUAGCGGGGGAUAACUAUUGGAAACGAUAGCUAAUACCGCAUAACAGUAGAUAUUGCAUGAUAUCUGCUUGAAAGGUGCAAUUGCAUCACUACCAGAUGGACCUGCGUUGUAUUAGCUAGUUGGUGGGGUAACGGCUCACCAAGGCGACGAUACAUAGCCGACCUGAGAGGGUGAUCGGCCACACUGGGACUGAGACACGGCCCAGACUCCUACGGGAGGCAGCAGGAGGGAAUCUUCGGCAAUGGACGGAAGUCUGACCGAGCAACGCCGCGUGAGUGAAGAAGGGUUUCGGAUCGGAAAGCUCUGUUGUAAGAGAAGAACGAGUGUGAGAGUGGAAAGUUCACACUGUGACGGUAUCUUACCAGAAAGGGACGGCUAACUACGUG